AGGAGAGAUGCAGAGCGACAGAGACACUCUAUCUAACGCGAGAGUGUUUAAUUUGAUUAAAUAUGACUCCUAAGUUCAUAUAAACUGAAGAAAUCAGAAUUUAACUUGCAUAUAUUCAAUGAUACAGCGUGAUUGUGUGGAUUGAGCACUUUUUGAGCUUUCAUUUUGACCUGUGUGAUUAUGUAAAACCACAUGGUGCGUUGUGUUCACUGCCGUUCGCUGACGCCAUUUUGGUUGCACGUGCCUGUGAAAGACAAAAAGAGAGAGAAACACGUGAAUGGACAGCUGGAUUUUCCUAAUUGAUGGCGAGCCUCCCAUUUCGACCUGAUUGGAUCACGAAUCUAGAGGAAAGGACAAAUUUCUAUUUUAAAUAUUUUUCUUCAGGCAAGUAAGAGGAUACAUUUCAGAAACUGUUUCCUUAUUUUGUUUGUUUACUUCAUUGAACUGAAACAUUUCAGAAGCACAAAUCUGAUAAUUUAAGACUGAUCAAUACUCCAAUUGAUAAGAACUUUGAACUUGAAUACGGAUUUCAGCGUGUUACAUAUAUAAUUUGUACCAUCUUUGUACAUUGAUUGUGACUGUGAUUUCUGUAAAUGAGAAGUAAUUUAGAGGGUGCACCCAUAUUAUAUAUCCCCCUUCUUCAAAUCUUACCCUGGAGGUCCGGAGCACUACAGAGUUUAGCUCCAACCCUGAUCAAACACACCUGAGCAAGCUAAUCAAGGUCUUCAUGAUCACUAGAAAAUCACAGGUGGGUAAGUUUGAUUAGGGUUGGAGCUAAACUCUGUAGUGCUCUGGACCUCCAGGGUAAGAUUUGAGGAACCCUGGUAUAUAUAGUUAAUUGUAUUUUCAUUGUUGUUUACUAUUUUUUGUGAUUAAGGAAAGAAAAAGAAAGGUUUCUCAAUACUCAAAGUAAAAUAAUUUAUUAAUCAACUUACCUUCUGUCUCUGCUUGUUGCUCACUAUCACUGCUACCUCCUCCUUCGUACCGUGGCGUGCACCCUUCUGAUCUUAUUAUUAUGCCUGGUCCAUAAGUAAGUGAGUUAAUACCCGCUACAUAAAGAAAGUACACUUUCAUGGCAAUAUUUCUAAACGCAUUUAAUAAAUGAUCAUUAGACUGAUGUGACCUACCAAAGACUUGUUAAUUUAAAGUUCAUGCAGUUCUUUUUUAGUUGUCUGUUAAAAUGUUAAAAAAUAAUAACUUUGAGUUUAUUUUUUUCUAAGGGAUGUAAUUAUUCAAUAUUGAUAGUUGUUUGAUUCCAAUUUAACAAUAUUAAAAUGAGUUUUUUUGUUUGGACAUAUACAACUCAUAAUUAAUUUAUUAAAUGUACUUUUGCAAAACAAAAAAUCUGACUACCAAACUGUUUUAUUGUCAGUGUAAGCAUUGUGGUUUUUGUUUGUUUGCAAUGCAUUAAACUGAAAUGAAUACA